CCAAAUCGAAAAGUAGAAGAGAACUGUUUUCUCCAGGUAAAAUGGACAGCUCAUUGGAUGAUGCAAUUUCAUCUUUACUCAUAAAUUCCUCAUGCUUUUCAAAGCAUACCUUCAGUGGUAGAAAGAACAGUAGAAAACAUUUUUCUAAUGCUUCAAAGAAUUUUAUAAACGUGGGUUGGCUUGGUGAAGAGUCCGGUUCCCACUAUGAUUCAGGCCAAUCUAACAUACAGCCGGAGUUUAUCAGAGAUUCUCUUGAA